rnacentral:tRNA from 1 species
GCCGCCGUAGCUCAGCCGGGUAGAGCGCCGGCCUCGUAUGGCUACGGUGUAGCCGAGGUCGGGAGAGCCGGUGGACGCGGGUUCAAAUCCCGCCGGCGGCU